rnacentral:snRNA from 1 species
GUGCCCACUUUGGCAGCACAGAUACUAAUAUUAGAAUGAGACCAAGAAGAGUAACUUGUCCUCUGUCCAAGGAUGACACACAAGUUCAUGAAGCAUUCCAUAUUUUU